UACGGGGGGGGCAAGCGUUGUUCGGAAUUACUGGGCGUAAAGGGCUCGUAGGUGGCCAACUAAGUCAGACGUGAAAUCCCCAGGCUCAACUUGGGAACUGCGUCUGAUACUGGAUGGCUUGAAUUCGGGAGAGGGAUGCAGAAUUCCAGGUGUAGCGGUGAAAUGCGUAGAUAUCUGGAGGAAUACCGGUGGCGAAGGCGGCAUCCUGGACCGAGAUUGACACUGAGGCACGAAAGCUAGGGGAGCAAACGGG
rnacentral:rRNA from 1 species